GAGCGCAUUUAUUACCAAUCGGUGGUGAAUCUGAAUAACUCCUUGGUUCUACACCGGCGACUCCUUCAAUCCCUUAUCAACUUUAUGGUAGUUUUACGCCUAUGGGACGAACGGAGAAUUAGGGUUCGACGGAGAGGGAGCCUACGGCUACC
rnacentral:rRNA from 1 species